AUUGAACGCUGGCGGCAGGCCUAACACAUGCAAGUCGAACGAGUGGCGGACGGGUGAGUAAUGUCUGGGAAACUGCCCGGUGGAGGGGGAUAACUAAUGGAAACGGUAGCUAAUAACGCAUACAAUGGGCUGUGCCCAGAUGGGAUUAGCGAGUUGGUGGGGUAACGGCUCACCUAGGCGACGAUCCGUAGCUGGUCGGAGAGGAUGACCAGCCACACUGGAACUGAGACACGGUCCAGACUCCGACGGGAGGCAGCAGUGGGGAAUUUUGGACAAUGGGGGAAACCCUGAUCCAGCCAUCCCGCGUGUGCGAUGAAGGCCUUCGGGUUGUAAAGCACUUUUGGCAGGAAAGCGGUACCUGCAGAAUAAGCACCGGCUAACUACGUGCCAGCAGCCGCGGUAAUUC
rnacentral:rRNA from 1 species